UGGGGAAUAUUGCACAAUGGGCGCAAGCCUGAUGCAGCCAUGCCGCGUGUGUGAAGAAGGCCUUCGGGUUGUAAAGCACUUUCAGCGAGGAGGAAGGUGGUGAGCUUAAUACGCUCAUCAAUUGACGUUACUCGCAGAAGAAGCACCGGCUAACUCCGUGCCAGCAGCCGCGGUAAUACGGAGGGUGCAAGCGUUAAUCGGAAUUACUGGGCGUAAAGCGCACGCAGGCGGUUUGUUAAGUCAGAUGUGAAAAUCCCCGGGCUCAACCUGGGAACUGCAUUUGAAACUGGCAAGCUAGAGUCUCGUAGAGGGGGGUAGAAUUCCAGGUGUAGCGGUGAAAUGCGUAGAGAUCUGGAGGAAUACCGGUGGCGAAGGCGGCCCCCCUGGACGAAGACUGACGCUCAGGUGCGAAAGCGUGGGGCAGCAAACAGGAUUAGAUACCCUGGUAGUCCAGCGCUGUAAACGAUGUCGAUUUGGAGGUUGUGCCCUUGAGGCGUGGCUUCCGGAGCUAACGCGUUAAAUCGACCGCCUGGGGAGUACGGCCGCAAGGUUAAAACU
rnacentral:rRNA from 1 species